rnacentral:rRNA from 1 species
GACGAACCGAGCGAACGUUAUUCGGAAUCACUGGGCUUAAAGGGCGCGUAGGCGGACCGUCAAGUCAGGGGUGAAAGCCCGCGGCUCAACCGCGGAAGUGCCUUUGAUACUGGCGGCCUCGAGGGAGGUAGGGGCGUGCGGAACUUCCGGUGGAGCGGUGAAAUGCGUAGAUAUCGGAAGGAACACCGGUGGCGAAAGCGGCGCGCUGGACCUCUUCUGACGCUGAGGCACGAAAGCGUGGGGAGCAAACAGG